rnacentral:tRNA from 1 species
UGGGAUGUAGCUUAGUGGUAGAGCACUUGCCUAGUAUGUACAAGGCCCUGGGUUCAAUCCCCAGCAUUAAAA